CUAUUGCGGCUACUUCCCCUCUUCAUGACUGCAAUUGCGGCUCACAACACUCAAGUAGCUAUAAGGGGGAGGUAGAGAUAUCCCAAAACAAUGGAGAGUCAUCGUGACAUAGGGUUGUCCAUGACCAAGGACGCGGCUAUACGUAUAGUUUUAACUUUGCAGAGUGUGUACACCUGGACCCAUCAUGGAGUGAGACAGCCGGGGAUCAGCCAACUGAACAUCACCCUACCGGGCGAAGAACUGUGAGUUACGAUACUGCUGACGCAAAUAUUAAGAGACGACCUUCGUGCAGUAACACACGAAACCCAGGAGAAUCUGCUUCGCUCCUAUUUAGGU
rnacentral:lncRNA from 1 species